rnacentral:rRNA from 1 species
AUGAACGCUAGCUACAGGCUUAACACAUGCAAGUCGAGGGGCAGCAUGGUCUUAGCUUGCUAAGGCCGAUGGCGACCGGCGCACGGGUGAGUAACACGUAUCCAACCUGCCGUCUACUCUUGGACAGCCUUCUGAAAAGGAAGAUUAAUACAAGAUGGCAUCAUGAGUCCGCAUGUUCACAUGAUUAAAGGUAUUCCGGUAGACGAUGGGGAUGCGUUCCAUUAGAUAGUAGGCGGGGUAACGGCCCACCUAGUCUUCGAUGGAUAGGGGUUCUGAGAGGAAGGUCCCCCACAUUGGAACUGAGACACGGUCCAAACUCCUACGGGAGGCAGCAGUGAGGAAUAUUGGUCAAUGGGCGAGAGCCUGAACCAGCCAAGUAGCGUGAAGGAUGACUGCCCUAUGGGUUGUAAACUUCUUUUAUAAAGGAAUAAAGUCGGGUAUGGAUACCCGUUUGCAUGUACUUUAUGAAUAAGGAUCGGCUAACUCCGUG